AUUGGAUUGCACGUCUAAGCAGUAAGGCUGAGUAUUAGGCAAAUCCGGUACUCGUUAAGGCUGAGCUGUGAUGGGGAGAAGACAUUGUGUCUUCGAGUCGUUGAUUUCACACUGCCGAGAAAAGCCUCUAGAUAGAAAAUAGGUGCCCGUACCGCAAACCGACACAGGUAGUCAAGAUGAGAAUUCUAAGGUGAGCGAGCGAACUCUCGUUAAGGAACUCGGCAAAAUGACCCCGUAACUUCGGGAGAAGGGGUGCUCUUUAGGGUUAACGCCCAGAAGAGCCGCAGUGAAUAGGCCCAAGCGACUGUUUAUCAAAAACACAGGUCUCUGCUAAACCGUAAGGUGAUGUAUAGGGGCUGACGCCUGCCCGGUGCUGGAAGGUUAAGAGGAGUGGUUAGCUUCUGCGAAGCUACGAAUCGAAGCCCCAGUAAACGGCGGCCGUAACUAUAACGGUCCUAAGGUAGCGAAAUUCCUUGUCGGGUAAGUUCCGACCCGCACGAAAGGCGUAACGAUUUGGGCACUGUCU
rnacentral:rRNA from 1 species